rnacentral:lncRNA from 1 species
CUUUUCGGCCGCGGCGCGUGACUGGGCUUGGUGGAGUUUCAAGAUGCUGAUGAACUUAAGGUCUGGCGCUUGAAAGAAUCAGUGAAGCUUUUCAAGUAGAGGAGUGGUGUUUCCAGUGAAAUCUAUGGCAAGAUGGUUUGGGGUCACUAUCUACAUGAACUGCCAAGUUGGAAAAUCAAAAAUACAUCAAAAUCACUCUUGGGACAUAAGUCACGGAAGUGACUCAUGCACACAAUAAAUACCCAAGAAGCAGGACCAGACGGCAGUUGUGUAUUGGCACGCUCAUCAGUGCUGCAAAAAUUCCCCUUCUGGAUGGCAACAACAAUGCUGUAUCCACAGCAGCAUUUUAAAUCUCACCUCUGAUUACUCUACUUUGAAGAAAGGAAUGGAACAGAAGGUGUCUGCAUAACUAAAUGGGGAUCUAGAGAAAGUGGAGACUGCCUCUGGAGCAGGGAGCCUCCUGUUGCCUUUCUAGGAGGUGCCCUACUGUGUAUUGCUGGGGUCGUAUAGCCAAUUGGCGAACUAGCUGAUAAACCCUGGACAGAAAUAGAAACUACAAGAAGUGAAACAAAGUUCCAUCCAAGAAUGAAACAACAACUGAUCACGUGAGAUGCCCAUGUCAUCACUUGACCCACAGACAGGGGAGCAAAUAUAUUGAUGAUCUGGUCCUCCUGCCGGACUGUUGGUAUUCAUCCCUGUAAGUGAGAGGAAGGAAACAUUGCAACUUAAUGGGUGAGUCCUUCCUUCUGGUGAAUUUAACAUCAUGCAUUUGCUAGAUUUGCUAGCCAUGCAGUUAUGGUGAAAACAGGAAAGAUCCCUUUGGGUUUAACUAUAGAUUAGCCAUAGGAUUUGCAACCAGGAAAAGACCUUCAAGAUCAAUUCUAUUGGAACAUGGACAAUUAACAUAAAUAAACUGAGAAACAG